GCCUCGGUCGCUCCCCGCGGGCGACCUGGGCGCCAACCGUAGCCCGUCGGGAGCAGCUCCGCCGCACACUCCUACCCCGCCGCCGCCGGCAAGCGUCGCCGGGCAAAGCCCGCGCGGCGUGGGCGGCGGCGGGAUCUCCUUUCCCAGCUCCGGAGGCGGGCUGCGCGGGGCGGCUUCGUCGACCGGACGCGGGGGCCGGUGCCGAGCUUUGGCGCAGGGCGGCGUGGAGCUCCCGCUGCUGCGUCUUGGGCGGCCGCGCUCAAGCGAGCGUCGGUGCGGUUGAGGCCGGCGGCGCUCAGCGAGCAUCUUGGCGGUCGCGCUCAAGCGAGCGACGGACUCAGAUCGGCGCGGUGGGGGGCGAGGUGCGGCGGCUCUAGGCGGGGCGGCGAAGGCCAGCAGGUGCGGCGCUGGCGUGCUGCAUCGCGCCGGCUGCGCGGGUCCGAUUGGGCCGGAUCUGGGCCGCGCGGGCCGCAACCUUCGCGGUGGCACGACGCCCCUAUCCGGCUGCUCUCCAGUCUUGAUGUGGCGGCGCUGCUUGCCUGCUUCCUUUGCUGGCCAGGGCAGCGGACAGACCGAGCGGAUGGCCAAGCGGCCUUGCUCCAAUUCCGGGAACCUGGCGGCUCGGGCAGUUUGGAGGCUGCCUAGUUAAAGGCUGGAGGGAGGUGGAGUGCACACAGAUUCUUGGUGGCCAGCGGGGGUGCUAGUCAUGAAGCCGCCCUUGAAGUUGCUCCGGCGAGGUAUGUGUGGAGAGGUUGGGUGUGACUGAGGUGUGCCGGGAACUCAGGUUCCAGCGAGGUGUGCAAUUCUCCGGAUGAAAAUCUUGCUCGACUUCCGUCGAUGCCGGUGAUGAUGUCACUUCUGUGUGUCGUUUGCCUUGUUGAAGGCAUUACCGAGGAGAUCAAUCACUUCUCCCGCUCUUGGUUCUUGUCUUUGGGUGAAAACCUAAAUCCGCAUGUCGGAUUGGCGAUGGCGGCAUCCUCGAUGUCGUUACUUCGGUGGAAGCAUCGUUUUGGAGACAUGGUACUGAUGGGAGCACCUGGGCUGUGGUCAAGCGGCUGGUCGGGCACUAUCAAUGGCGCGUGUUCUUGGAGUCUGUGGUGCUGGGUCUCGUGGGGUUGCCCCGUGGUGGCGGUGGCAGGAACACUCUCGACAUGCAGGCGGCGCCAGACGAGUCCUGUUUUCCGCCCUCUCAAGACCGGAGCGGCACAUGCCGCCUCCCUUCGGUUAUGUCUUCUCUCUCCGAUGUUGUUGAAGACGGCGAACAAGCUCGUGGCAAUGGUGAUCGAUUCAACAUGUUUGGAGUGACCUUGGGGCUGUUGCAAUGAAGUCGAAGACGUCCCACCGUAAGCACGAGGGAUGAUGUUUGGUGACGCUGCUUGUCCCGGUGGUGUGCUUCUAUGUUUGUGCCGCUCCUAGCCUUCCCGGCGUUCUUUAUGUCUAGCGGUGCUCUUGUUGAUGUAAAGGUUUUCGCCCGGUUUUCCUUCAAUAAA